UAGUCCUACGGGGGGCAGCAGUAGGGAAUCUUCCACAAUGGGCGAAAGCCUGAUGGAGCAACGCCGCGUGAGUGAAGAAGGUUUUCGGAUCGUAAAGCUCUGUUGUUGGUGAAGAAGGAUAGAGGUAGUAACUGGCCCCUAUUUGACGGUAAUCAACCAGAAAGUCACGGCUAACUACGUGCCAGCAGCCGCGGUAAUACGUAGGUGGCAAGCGUUGUCCGGAUUUAUUGGGCGUAAAGCGAGCGCAGGCGGAAAGAUAAGUCUGAUGUGAAAGCCUUCGGCUUAACCUGAGUA
rnacentral:rRNA from 1 species